UUCAGGAUGGCCGAGUGGUUAUGGCAUCGUAUUUCUGCUGUUGUGUCUGCAGGUUCGAUUCCUGCUUCUGAAU